GUCUUUUUAGGGCAGCACCUGCAGCAUAUGGAGGUUCCCAGGAUACUGAUCGAAUCAGAGCUGUAGCCACUGGCCUACGGCACAGCCACAGCAAUGCAGGAUCCCAGCUAUGUCUGCCACCUACACCACAGCUCAUAGCAAUGCCAGGUCAUUAACCCACUGAGCGAAGCCAGGAAUCAAACCUACGUCCUCAUGGAUACUAGUCAGAUUCGUUUCCAUUGAGCCACAAUGGGAACGCCUGUACCACUUUUUUUUUGGUUUUCUCCUGACUCCGUGUGUGUGUGUGUGUGUGUGUGUGUGUGUGUGUGUGUGUAUACUGGGUCAAAUAAACUUUUCUGUGCAUCAUGAUCAAAAUAUUUGGGGCCACCGACUGAGAGAUGAUCUCCCUCCUCUUUGAUAACAUUUACAGGGCCCUACCGGGUGUGACACCCAGCGCCACAUGUGGGAGCCAGACUGGGGGCAUCAGGGCCCAAUUCUUAGCAAGGUGGCUUGGUGAGGGGCCCUGUGGGGUCAUCAGAGGCAGGGAACAAGGGGUGGUCAGGGAGGGCUUCCUGGCAUAUGACACGUGUGGGGUGGGAACAGCGAGAGGAGGCUAUGCCUGGGGUGAGGGGUUUAUUGGGGAUCUGGAGAUAGAGAGCCCCUCUGGUGGGGGCCCCCGUCAUUGGAGAGCUGCCCGGCCGGGUCUGCCCAGAGUUGAGGGUGAAGGUCAUCUCAGGACACUGGGUGAGGUGGGGUAGAGGAGCACUCAGGUUUACUGAUGCUCGCCCAACCCUAAGACUUGCAGGAUCAGCAGUGAUGGGGUGAGAUCCAGGGCUCAGACACUUUCUCUCUUCCCCUUGGCUUCUGGGCGCCUCCUGAGCCUUUUUGCUGCCGCAGCUGGCUGUGGGGAGCCUGAGCCCUGGUCCAGGAGCCAGAAGUCUUUCUAUGACUCAGAUCCCUGCCUGGGGUAAGUCGGGCCUCCAUUUCUUCAUCUGUAAAGUGGGCAUACGAGUAGCAGGCGGCUGUCUGGGUGGUGAUGCUUCUUGUGACCCAAUGAGGGGGAGCUGCCUGCAGGAAGUGUGGUGAGCUCUGGGCGGUCGUGACUGUUGUCUCCAAGUCUGGCAGGGCCAGGGCAGGUCACGAGGAUGUCAGAUGCCUGGAGAGCCCCCAUCUCUCCACGCCACAACCUGUGGCCUUGGGGCAAGGGUGGGGAAAGGCCUGUGACCUAGGGUGAGCUGGGGAUGUCCCCGGCUCUGAGGGGGAGGUGGCCUGUUAGAGGCCCCAGAGGAUGACACCCAGGUUUGGCUGGAGUCUGGGAAACCCAGCCUCCAGAGCCCCCACCCACAUGGAGCACCCCAUGGGGGCCUGUGAUGCCAGGUGGAGGGGGUCUUGCCCAGGGACGUAUUGGCAGAGGUCAAUUUCCAGGAAGCUGUGGGUGGCUUUGAGCCUGCCCAGCACAGAGCGUAGAGCUCAGGCAUGAGCUCCCACAGUAGGACGUGGUUUUUAAUCAGUGGUCACAUUUAUUGAGCACCUACUGUGUGCCAGGCACUGUGCCAACCACUAAUGUAUAUUUGCAAAUUUAAUCUUCAUCAUAACCUAACGUGCAGGUCUUCUUACCAUCCCAUUUUAUAGGUGAGGAACUGAGGCUCAGAGUGGUUUUCACUCUCUCCCUAGCUAGUGAAUGGCAGAGCUGGGCCGAGGGCAUGAGUUCUGGAUUCAGGCUGCCAGGGUUGAAAUCCAGUAGCACGUGUUAGCUGUGACCUUGGACAAGAGCCCGCACCUCUCUGAUCGUUCCUUUCUUGCUCUGUGAAAUGGGGCAUAACUCCAGUGCCCUCCUCAGAGCCUUGUUGAGAGAAUGAUGUGAGAUCGUGGCAGUCAAGUGCUUAGUUCCUAGGACACCAUCUCUCCUGCCUGCACCAGUGAGCCACUGUGUGACCCUGGGCCCAUUCCCUGGCCUCCCUGGGUCCCAUGUCCUCAGCUGUGUGGCGUAGGGUACGGACCCCUUGCCUGCCCUUCUCAACGGAAUCGCUGAGGCUCAGAAGGGAUCAAAACUCUGAAUGGGUCCUGAGGGAGGCCUUCAUGGAGCAGAAGUGCUAGGCUCUUGCACCCCCAGAGCUACCAGGAAUUUUUCAGGCCUUGGAGCUAACUGCAGGUCUACAUGUGUUUUCCUUGGGCUUGCUUCAGGCUUUCAUGUUUCCUGCUGGCCUGUGCAGGCAUUUGAAUUGCUGAGCUGAGAAGUACUCCAUCAUUUCCCAAGGUGUGUUCUGUGGAAAGGUUUGGUGAUCAAGCAGGUGUGGGAGAGGGCUGAG
ensembl:lncRNA